rnacentral:rRNA from 1 species
AGUGAACGCUGGCGGCGUGGAUUAGGCAUGCGAGUCGUGCGAUCUUUGUUCGAAUCUUAUUGAAGUGCUUACACGGAUUUAAGAAUUGGACGCUAGAUAGCGGCAAACGGGUGAGUAACGCGUGAGCAACUUUCCCUAGAGUUAGGAAUAGCCUCGUGAAAACGUGGGUAAUACCCAAUAGUAUCAGAGAAACUCAUGUUUUUCUGAUUAAAGGUGGGGAUCCUUCGGGACCUACCGCUCCAGGAUGGGCUCGCGUCCUAUCAGCUUGUUGGUGAGGUAACGGCUCACCAAGGCUUAUGACGGGUAACCGGCCUGAGAGGGUGACCGGUCACACUGGGACUGAGACACUGCCCAG